GCGCCCACCGCCUCCACCGUCAGGUUGCACAGAAUGAACUUGUUGAAGUCGCAUGGGUCGGACACCAGCGGCGGCAGCCCGGCCCCACCGUCGGACUGGGCGGCACGCUCCUGGUGCUCCGUGCCCAGACGAUGCUUCGUCGCGCGCUGCCCGCGGGGACGCAGGCGGAGAAAGAGGAGACGGCAGAGGGAGGACAGACCCCGGCAGGGGGAGGAGGAAACACUAAGUGGCUCCGCGUCUGGUCAGCCCGGGCCCGGGAUGCCAAGUGAGAAAAGUGCCACCCUGCGGGAAGUUUGGGCAGCACGGAGUCCGCCAGCAUUCUACAGGAAGUUUGGGGGAGCACAAGGUUGCCUGCAGAAGGCCAUCAGAAGGGGGUAGGUGAACCCAGUCUGACAGUUGCUGCUUGGGUUUUGACGUCGUUGGACUAGUAGCUGAGGAGAGGCACCACCCCCUUUUAGGUGUCUGAAGGGAGUAUUUACUCCAUCCUGCUGUGGGCUAGAACAUGAAGAAAUCACAGAACUGGUUCUGCCAACAUGAAAGUGUCUCUGCCACAUUUUGGUGAUUCAGUCGCAUUAACUCUCCUACAGUAAUAGAGCCCCUGGGGUAGGCUCUGCUCGUGUGCACAUACAUAAUAACCUUCACAGAUCCUAAGGUAAACGUUCCUUGCAGGGCCCUCCUGCUUUACGCCUGGACUUGCAGUGAUCUUCAAAGUCUUUAGGCCCAAAAAUGUUCAGGCCUGGCUCAGUUGGGGAAGCAUUAUUAUUUAUUAUCUCUAGGGAAUGGAGCAUUUAAUCAACGGCUCCUUUGGGAUCAGCCCCUGCUGAGAAUGAGAAUACACAAGGAGGAGUUGUUAAUUAUUAAUUAUUGUUUCUUUAUAUAAACCAUCUUGCUAAAAAAUAAGGGCCCUUCCCCUAUCCAAGGUGUUGAGAAAACGUAAGUUUUGAGGACGUACUCUGCAACAAUGUGGAAAAUUAAAGGAAAGAUACAGAUCCUCACCUGAAGACAAUGACAAUCUAGUGGGAAGGGCAAUGAAUGCAUUGAAAGGUUAGAUAAUAAUAUAAGGCAGUAAUAGAGAACACCACAAAAACAAAAAUUAUUUUUUUUGAGGUGGGAUCUCACUCUGUUGCCCAGGCUGGAGUGCAGUGGCAUAAUCUCCGUUCAAUGCAGCCAUGACCUCCAGGGCUCAAGUGAUCUGCCCACCUCAGCUUCCCUAAUAGCUGGGACUAACAGGCCCUUGUCACAAUGACCAGCUAAUUUUUGUAUUUUUUAUAAAGGGGGAGUUUUGCCAUGUUGCCAGGCUGGCAUCGAACUCCUGGUCUCAAGCGAUCCUCCCACCUUGGCCUCCCAAAGUGCUAGGAUUACAGGUAUGAGCCACACCACACAGGGUGACAAAUGAUUUUUAAUAAUUCUAUGUUUCACAGUAAUUGCCCCAUUUAGCAAUUAAUAUAGUCAAGUGAUAGAGGGAAGUUCUGAAUUUAGAGAAAGAUGAGAUCGUUGGCAGGGUAGUCAGUGGUGACUUCGUGGGUGAGCAGGGACCUUGGCUUUGCAGGGAGGUGAGUCAAUGAUAAUUCCAGGAGAUGAGCGCUGAGGGGUGGAGCUGUGAUAGUCCUGAGGAGCAGCACCUGGCCUGAGAGUGUGAGGAAGGCGUCUAGAAGAGGGGAAACCUGUGCUGAGUUUGAGGGGUGAGUGGUAUUACCUAGAGGAAGGUGAGCAGACGCUCAAGGAGGAGAAGCCUGGGGACACAUGCAAGGAGGGAUUUAGAAACCUCCACAUCUUCUGUCUGCAUAUUUAGGGUGAGCUUUAUUAACUUAUUCUUUAACAGUAUCAUACACCCUAGCUUAUACAGUGACUUGAAAUAAAUAUUCCUUUAUUCCCCUUUAAGGAUUUCAGCAGGUAGCUGAUGUAAUCAUAUUUGCACUACAACCUCAAGAGGAAUCUCUGCCUAAAUAAACAAAGUAGGUGCUAUACAAAAAAAAUGUUGUCUUCCUAGUUCUUGCCUUCUAGGUCCUUGAAAUCUGUGACAGCAAUAGGUGUGAGAUGUGUGGAUAGAGCAUCCAGACUGAGGCAUUCAGCUAUACCACGCACAUAGGCAUCUUGUAGAUACUGUGAAUGCAUCUCCUCAACCAGGCCAAUGUGGGCGCUGUCUGUGGACCUUGUGCUUUACAGGGCUGUGUUCCAGUCCUCCUCUGGUUGUGCACCUUCCAAUAAGAGCAGGAUUUCAGGCCUCAAAGGAGAUGUGCACACCCAUACCCCGCUUCCUACUCAGAGUUCUCUAGACCCUGGAAUUCCCUGUGUAACUGCCUAAGUAUAUAUAGGCUGCCUUCACAUCUGUUUUCCUAGUGGCCAGUCAUGCCACAAGUGUGUAUACUCCUAGGGCCAAGGGAAGACCAAGGGGGCAGCUAUGCAAAAAAGAAUCUGGAGAUGCAGGCUGGAGUUUCCACUGGCAGGCCCCCAGAAGACCCCUCAUAAUGCAGGAGCCAGAGCUGGGAAGGACAGCCGUGGGCCAGUGAGUGACCUUUCACACUCUAAUCCUGGGCUUCUCAAAUUUUGAAGACAGGCCUGUCUAUAUGCAGCUGUUUUUGGAGGGGAGAAAGUAAAUGUACUUUGAUUUUAGAAAGUACAAGAAGAAAAAAAUCAGGAGUUUGAAGGAAAGUGGGUUUUUUGUUUUGUUUUGUUUUUUUCCUCACUGCAAUCUCUGCCUCCCAGGUUCAAGCAAUUCUCCUGCCUCAAGCCUCCUGAGUAGCUGGAAUUACAGGCGUGCACCACCACACCUAGCUAAUUUUUGUAUUUUUAGUAGAGAGAGAGUUUCACCAUGUUAGUCAGGCUGGUCUCAAACUCCUGACCUCAGGUGAUCCACCCCCCUCGGCCUCCCAAGGUGCCAGGAUUAUAGGCGUGAGCUACCACGCCUGGCUGGAAAGCGGUUUUUAGAAAUCCCAAGAAGAGAAAAACGUUCCACUGAAGGGUAGGAAAUGGCAGAAAAUUUGGAACCGGGGCUCAGAAUCGCAUGCUUCCCGGGAUGGUGCACCUUUCUCUUCUGACUGUCCAGUGAGGGAAGAAUGUGAUCUAGAAGCAAAUCCACAUGGACCUUGGUUUACUUAUGAGGCCAAAACAGAAUUGCAUUUCUCAUUCCUUAAGAAACUAGAACUCUUAAGGAAUUGUUCUGAGGCUCUAGCCUAACAAAUAUUAACAUUUUUCGGGGACAGAGGAGCUAAUUUAAGGGAACCGUGACUGAUUAGAGAUUCCUUUUCCUCUGCCCUAACAAGGAAGACACAUUCUAGUGGAAUUUUACCCUGAAGAAACUACCUCAUUGGAGCAAACAAAAUCCACCCUUCAUCCAGUCCAAGAUCAGCUUCCAUUUUCCAGGGCAACAUCACUCCAAACCUUUUUUGAUAGAAUCUACUUUUUUUUUUUUUUUUUAACUUUUGUUUAUUUUUGCCCCAAAGCCUUUGGCAUUGUCCUCCAGUGAGUCACACUAUGGAGCCAUUUCAAAAUGUCCUCCUUAAAGAAUGUUUCUCUUCCCAGGGGAGAUGGGAAAUUGGUCAAUGACAGCAUGUUCUGGCAUGUUACGGUGCAACGUGUGAGGAUUUUAGUAAGGAGAUGCCAUUUCACACGCCGCCAAGGCCACUUGAUGGAUGGGCUUGCAGGGAAACAGCCUUCUAGAUCUUUCCUGGCUCUACAGAGACAAGAUGGAAAAACUAAAGCAUGGCCAUUAGGGGUUUCUUCCAAUCAGUGUAAUAAGGGAAUCAGUCCUUCUACUCUCCCAUGACAGAAGUUUAGGGCAGUCAUUUGCAAAUUCAGAUUUUGCAACAAAAUAAUUAAAUCAUCAUGGGAUGGAAGACAAAAAUAAGAGGAGAGAAGGCAGAUACUGGCGUGUUUGGAGGCUUAGCAGGCUCCAGCACAGUAAUGCUGAUGCCCAGGCCUGUACCAGUGAUACUCUCUCCCCCUGGAAGGUCUCCAGUCUCACCCCCACUCCUUGGUUUGGAGUAAUUAGUCAUCCUCUGUCCUCUGUUCUCAAAGCACUUCGGACCUUCAUCUAUUAAAGUAGGUGGCACACUGGGAUUAUUUAUGCAGUGGUCACCAGCCUUCCCUUCAUAAGCAUCUGUCCCCAUUUAGAGCACCUCAGCGGCAGAGCAUAGAUUUGUCCUCAUAUCUUCAGCACCCAGAGCACGUCUUCAAGAAGAUUAACAUGGCACAUCCUGCUGUAAGAUGGAAGUGUGACUGAGGCAGGAGUCUGGGGCAAUUUCUGUUCCUGGUGCUGAGUGUCUAGAUUUCCUAUUCUUAUCACACAACAUCCCCGCAUACUCGCAGGUCCCUCAGGCACUUCUUUUGCUCCCUUUGACUCAUGUAUGAAAAUUUAAAGUAUCAUCAAACAUUACUAGGUGUACAUGUGAAUUUUGAUUGUGAACAUUCAUUGGGAAAUUAGGGAAAUCACCAGUGUGUAUUCCCACUGCAUGUCAAAAUGUAGAGACUGGCUUUAAUGUUUUUACUGAGCUUUAAUAUCUGCAUAUGGUGGAUGUUUUCUGGCUCCUGGCUGCGCAACAUCCAGGCUCCCUUUCUUCUAGUGACAAUGCCCUGGGUUUAUUUUGUUUUGUUUUGUUUGGUGGUGGGCAAUUGUCUGUCCCCCAUUGGGUGCAGUCCUGAUGACACUGAGUUCAAGGUGGCCCACCCUCCCUCCUCAGCAUGAGAUGAGUUUUCAGUGGCUGCCACUGGCUGUGGUGUGGGAUUGGUGAGAGGAAGCUUUUACAUUUGAGUUUUUCGCAAUGAACAGCUCUUUCUUUUGCAAUUUGAAAAUUAAAGAUUUAAGAAAAAGAUUAACAUUUGCCCAAAAGACCUGGCUAGACGCAGUGAAGUUCCUUGUGAAUCUGUGUGAGCAGCAGCCGCAGCCCUGGCUUGCUGUCCUGACACACACAGCACCCAGGGGAAUGCAGACGGCCCGCGUCAUACUCCUGAAGUUGCCAAAAAUCCCUUUAAAAUGAUUGAGCAGAUGUCUUUUCUUGGGUUUGAGCAGAUAUAAAUCACAGCAGUCUGCUUUUAAUUCCUAGGGUCGGUGUCUUAGAGGCAACAAAAUCAAUCCCUUUCAGGUUGGUUUUCUGAAUGUUUUUUAAAUCUUCAGAAUUUUAAUAACAAUAACUGCUACAAUAUGCAAGAAAAAGUAAACCCAUCUGUGCAGGUAGCUAUAUUUCACCCCAGGGCACACACUUCCUGUGUGAUGGUGGAGUUGAACAGGCAACUCCCAGUCAUCUCUGCAGCUGGCCCUGACCACCAGAGGUCAACCCCUCAGGGGCCCAGCAUGGAGAAUGAAAUGGUUUCUGAGCUUAGAGCCAGAGGCUUACAUGGCACAAAAUGGACACAGCCCAGGCCCAUGUAUCAUUAGCAGUAAGAGUUGGCGGGGCGGGGGGCGCUGUUAUUCACAAGAAGAAACAAAGGGAACGCCAGACUUUCCUCAGGAAAUCAGAGUUUAAGUCAAGCAGCUCACCACAAGAUCUUAGCCCUUGGUUUCUGGUCUUACCUGUCAUAUUUUUGGUGGCAUUAGAAAAGAUAACUUGGGGACUUCACAUCAAUCAAUAAUUAAUUCAAAGCUCUUAGUACUUUCCAGAGAAUCACAAUUCAAAUUUACAUUAGCCCCUCUUGGGUCUCCAGAGCAGAUACUGCAUCAAAAAGUUUCCAAGGGUCUGGUUUACACCACUUUCAAAGUAAAGCCCAUUAAUAAUGGCAGUACAGACCCUAAUGCCUACCCACUGAUAGGCGAGAAGAGCUGAGGGAUCCGGAGCAGGGUGCCUGAUGGGAAGAGGAUGGGGUUGAACAGAGACCCACUUUGAUUCCUGAUGGGCUCUGCCAUUAGCUGUGGAAACUCAGGGGUGUGUGUGCGUGUGUGUCUUCCUUUUCUUUCUUUCAUAUAAAAGAAAGCAUCAUAUAUUGUUAGAUGCCUUGCGUUUUUUUAUUUAAUAACAUAACGAAAUUGGAACAAAGUUUAAGGCUACUUUUAGACUUUCUGUCAUCUCAAACAGUGGUCUCCAAAUCUUUUUGCUGUCAACUUUAUUAAAAAAUUACUGAAGAUACAUAUAUAAUAUAUAUUUAAUAUAUAAUAUAUUCCACUUUGAUUAAAAUUUCAUAAUGUAAAUAUUAAUACAGCAGUGGCA
rnacentral:lncRNA from 1 species